CUGGCUCAGGACGAACGCUGGCGGCGUGCCUAACACAUGCAAGUCGAACGAAGUAUAUUUUCGGAUAUGCUUAGUGGCGGACGGGUGAGUAACGCGUGAACAAUCUGCCCUGUACACAGGAAUAGCCUCGGGAAACUGGGAUUAAAACC
rnacentral:rRNA from 1 species